rnacentral:lncRNA from 1 species
GGAAUAUAAACGACUGCAACAAUGUACCGUAAAUCUAUACGGAUGCUCUUCGACUCCUUGUCGAAGUCCUUUUUGUCCCAGCCGGUAGGUCUCUAGACGUUACAGAGAACCCCGAACAACCCAAACUGUUAAUCUUCAAUACCGCUUUGUACUUACGAUCUUGUAUCCACUGACUGUCUUGUUAGAUUAACCCAAUAAAUUUCAUUCACUCCGCAUACUCAAUCCUAUAGACACCCUUUUAAUCCUUCAAUCACAGACGUAACUCGAUUUCACAAAACAGUCAAGAGUAUUCAAACCCACUUCAUUAAAAAUCCCGAUUCACCAUUACAAUACUGACUUCAGCAGUGAUUGCCUCAGUCUUCCCAAAACUCUACGAAGAAGAAAAAUCCAAAU